GAUGAACGCUAGCUACAGGCUUAACACAUGCAAGUCGAGGGGAAACGGCAUUAAGUGCUUGCACUUUUUGGACGUCGACCGGCGCACGGGUGAGUAACGCGUAUCCAACCUUCCCAUGACUAAGGGAUAACCUGCCGAAAGGCAGACUAAUACCUUAUGGUCUUCACUGACGGCAUCAGAUGUGAAGUAAAGAUUUAUCGGUUAUGGAUGGGGAUGCGUCUGAUUAGCUUGUUGGCGGGGUAACGGCCCACCAAGGCAACGAUCAGUAGGGGUUCUGAGAGGAAGGUCCCCCACAUUGGAACUGAGACACGGUCCAAACUCCUACGGGAGGCAGCAGUGAGGAAUAUUGGUCAAUGGGCGAGAGCCUGAACCAGCCAAGUAGCGUGCAGGAAGACGGCCCUAUGGGUUGUAAACUGCUUUUGUAUGGGGAUAAAGUCAAUCACGUGUGAUUGUUUGCAGGUACCAUACGAAUAAGGACCGGCUAAUUCCGUGCCAGCAGCCGCGGUAAUACGGAAGGUCCGGGCGUUAUCCGGAUUUAUUGGGUUUAAAGGGAGCGUAGGCUGGAGAUUAAGUGUGUUGUGAAAUGUAGACGCUCAACGUCUGACUUGCAGCGCAUACUGGUUUCCUUGAGUACGCGCAACGUUGGCGGAAUUCGUCGUGUAGCGGUGAAAUGCUUAGAUAUGACGAAGAACUCCGAUUGCGAAGGCAGCUGACGGGAGCGCAACUGACGCUGAAGCUCGAAGGUGCGGGUAUCGAACAGG
rnacentral:rRNA from 1 species